rnacentral:lncRNA from 10 species
GCAAGACUCCUUACUAAACGAAGGAGGGCAGAGGAGUGCCGUUUUGGAAAUAUCAAGGGGAAUGAAAAGAGAAAGAGAAUUGACGGGAGAGAGAGGAAUCUGCCCACACUCAGGGGAUCAUCCAGAAUUCACAGAUGAACAGGGUGCACUCAAGGAAGACUGCCCCUCCAUCAGAGCACCACCCCUCAGUGACUGCUGACGUGUAAGACACUUCCAGCAUCUUUUUACCAGGCCCCACCCUUGGGGAUGCCCAGACCAAGAUAUCACUCUUUGCACUAAGUGACUCCUGAGAUACCAGCCCUUUACCUGACUUACAUUCUGUCAUCCUGCAUCAGAAUUGUUUCGAAUUUUUAGAGGUAUUGUGUUAUAAUGGUGUUCAAUGAAGUUGGAAGAAUUCUGGCUCUGCUGCUUAGAAACUGAAUGCAAGUUCCCUGACCACAGAGGUUGGGUCUUUUAAAGAACCUACUGUGUGCUGAGCGCUGUUGUAAGCACUGAGAAAUAAAGAACAAGAGAGGCGAAGUCCCUGAUGUCUCGGAGUUUAUGGUCUUAUGCGAAAGACCAUCAGAGAGCAUCAUCUAACCACGUCGGCAGUUCCCAACACACCAGCUUACAAGUGCACCUCAAAGCCUAUAUUGGUCCAUUGCUUCUUUCACUUGGCAAGCAGCUACUUUCUGCUCACUUCAUUCCCCUGUGAAGAACCUCACACCUGUAAUCCCAGCAUUUUGGGCAGCCAAGGCAGGAGGAUUGCUUGAACCCAGGAGUUUGAGACCAACCUGGGACAACAAAGUGAGGAACUGCAUCUCUACAAGAGCUUUAAAAAAAAUAAUUAGCCGGCCCUGCUGGCGCAUGCCUGUAGCCCCUCACUAUCAGGGGCCCUUAUCCUCACAUUCAUCCACAUCAGGUUCAACCUCUUUCUCCUGGCCCCUCCCUCCACCAAUAUGAGGUUUCAAAACAAAACAAAAAACCAGAAUGUAGUUCCUCUUCACAAAUUUGGGAACAUCUGAUCUGGUGGUUCCUAAAUUAUAAAAUGGAGUAAUGGAGAGAACAUAUACCUGGGUAUCACUCAGAUCCAGGUCAACUAUGGCUCUGAUUUACAAACUCUUGAGGAAGCCCUCAAUCUCUUGAAGGUUCGAUUUCUUUAUCUCUAAAUUAGAGAUAAUAAUGUUUAUCCUACAGAGCUGUUGUAGAGAUUAAAUAAAGUCACAUUUAAAAUGUAUUUACCACACUGCCUGGCUCAUGCUAGAUACUUAUUCCUUUCCAUCUUUCAAUGAAAUUACAUUUCCUAGCUUCUGAAUUAUUGUUCUUUAUUUAUUAGGCUGGUGCAAAACCUAGCUUAAUUGAAACUGACACAUCUUAUCAAAUAUCUGAUGUUCUUAAGUAGGUUUUAUUCUAAUAUGUGAGCUAUAUGAAACAUUAGUGACAAGGUUGACCACUUUAUUGUUUAUACAAUAUUACUCAGAAAAUAUAUGUAUUUGGAAAAUAUUAUUUUGAUCAGAAAUAUUACCAAUUUAUCUUCUCAGUUUAUGUAAUUCAUAAUAAUUCUGGGAUUAAUUGCCUCCAAAUUGGAUAUCUUUUCAAGAAAACUGGUUGUCAUCCAUUGUUACAUGUAGCCUGAAUAUUGAUCAAUAACUAAUAAAAUCAUACUGUUUGACACAUUUAAAUUAAAUUAGUGAGUUCAUGGUUCAGAAUGAAUAUUUGGUUAUAUUCUUUAGAAAACAAUAUUCUCUACUUAUGAGCAGUAUUUUGCCCUUUAUGAUAAAAUCUCAUGCUUCUUAUCUAAACUAGAAAACAUCAACCUUUUAAUCCAUGGUUCUGUGUGUUUCCUGGGACCAAUGUGGUUAAACACUUAGAGCCAACUCACUUAGUCUCCCUAAAUUUUAGUGUCCCAAGCUAGGUGAAUAAAAUAAUUUUGCAUUUAUAAUAAUACCUUUCUUUUACAAAGUUCACAAUGCAUUGAACUACUCUAUUAUUAAUUCUGAAGCAUUCCUAUAGACUUAGGAGAGGGUAUCUAUUAAACCCAGCUUCCAAACAGGAGUCACAGCCAUGGGCUGAGUGAUUUGCUCAAGGUCACACAGAUAUAGGGUUAUAAAGAUCAAAUGAUAUCAUGCAUGCCAAGAGUUU